rnacentral:rRNA from 1 species
UACGUAGGGGGCAAGCGUUGUCCGGAUUUAUUGGGCGUAAAGAGCUCGUAGGUGGUUCGGUAAGUCGGAUGUGAAAUCUCCAGGCUCAACCUGGAGGGGUCAUUCGAUACUGCCGUGACUAGAGGUCGGUAGGGGAGUGUGGAAUUCCUGGUGGAGCGGUGAAAUGCGCAGAUAUCAGGAGGAACACCCGUAGCGAAGGCGGCACUCUGGGCCGAUACUGACACUGAGACGCGAAAGCGUGGGGAGCGAACAGG